rnacentral:tRNA from 2 species
GGGCGUUUAGCUCAGUUGGCUAGAGCACCAGCUCGACAAGCUGGGGGUCACAGGUUCAAGUCCUGUAACGCCCACCA